rnacentral:ncRNA from 1 species
GUAUUUUUAAUAGUUUAAUUUUGUCUAUUUUUAAUAGCUUUUUUAUGAUUUAUAUAUGUAAAUUUUUGUGAGUUUAAUUAUUCUUAAGGAUUAAUUAUUAUUAUUCGCAGUUAUUAGAUUUGUUUUUUAAAGAGAUUUAGAUUUAGUUAUUAAUAUAAGAAUUGUUUAAUAUUGUGCCAGCAAACGCGGUUACACAAUUAAUUCAAGUUAUUUUUUUUGGAUAAUAUUUAUAUAGUUAUUUUUAGGAUAAAAUUUUUGUUAUUAGGUGAAAUUUUAAUUUAUUAUUAUCUUAGGGUUUAUUAUGAAUAUAUGAACUUCUUUUAUUAAACUAGGAUUAGAUACCCUAUUAUUUUGAAUGUAAUUUAUUUUCCUAGUACUAUUAGUUAUGGUCUUUUAAAUUAAAAGAUUUUGGCGGUAAUUUAAUCUUUUCAGAGGAACCUGUUCUAUAAUUGAUAAUCCACGUUGGGUUUUACUUUAAUUUUGGUUUGUAUAUCUCUGUCGUUGAAUAGCUUAUUAGGGUUAUAUUCAUUAAUUAUUUAUUUAUAAUAUGUCAGGUCAAGGUGCAGCUAUAUUAAAGGUUGAGAUGGGUUACAUUUAGUUUUAUUACUUAUGGGAUAUAUUUAUUGAGUAUAUAUAUUGAAAUAGGAUUUGAACGUAAAUAUUAUUAUCUUUUAAUAUUGAUUUUUGGCUCUAAAUUAUGUACAUAUCGCCCGUCACUCUCAUUAAUAAGAUGGGAUAAGUCGUAACAAAGUAAUUCUAUUGGAAAAUGGGGUUAGAUGAAA